UGAUGAUAUUUACAUUGUUGCAUGCACCCCCACAUACUCAGUACAUUCCAAAGUGCUGACCUACAUAUUUUUCUAUGGGCUACAUUUUUUCGUAAUGUAGGUUCAGGUACUCAACCGUAGCUGUGUUAGCGAUAUUCAAGUGCCUCAACUACAUUCCCUCAGUGGCGAGUCCUCAUGGUUCGAGGAUCGUGUCUAUAUUUUUGGUGAUAUCAUUCUGUUGUUAUGACUUUCAGUACUAUCUGAGUCAGUUGGAGGUGAUGACAUAAAAGAUGGUGGGAAUGAAAUUGGUGAACUAGACCUGACCUAAUAGAUUACAAACCAUCGCGAUAACAUAUAUAAAACCAUCUUAAUACAGGUUAUAGGAAUAGUUGGUAGCCAUACCAACAUAUUACAAACCAUUAUAAUAACAUAUUAAUAACCAUCCUAA